GGGAGAGAGAGGAGUAAGAGGGGGUGAGAGGUAGAGAAACAGAAAGAGAGAGAAGUGGAAGAGGGAGCGAGAGGGAGAGAGACAGAAAUGUGAGAGGGAGAGAGAGGAGUGGAAGAGGGAGGGAGAGAGAGAGAAGUGGAAGAGGGAGCGAGAGAGAUAAGUGGAAGAGGGAGCGAGAGAGAGAGAGUGAGAGAAAAGUGGAAGAGGGAGCGAGAAAGAGAGAGAGAGGGAGGGAGCGAGAGGGAGAGAGAUAGAGAGAAGUGGAAGAGGGGGCAAAAGAGAGAGAGAGAGAAGUGGAAGAGGGGGCAAAAGAGAGAGAGAGAGAAGUGGAAGAGGGAGUGCGAGAGGGAGAGAGAGAGAAUGAGAGAAGUGGAAGAGGGAGCGAGAAAGAGAGAGAGAGGGAGGGAGCGAGAGGGAGAGAGAUAGAGAGAAGUGGAAGAGGGGGCAAAAGAGAGAGAGAGAGAAGUGGAAGAGGGGGC
ensembl:lncRNA